rnacentral:lncRNA from 1 species
GGUUUCAACCUAGGGUGUAGGGGGUUAGGAUUCAACCUAGGGUGUAGGGGGUUAGGGUUUCAACCUAGAGUGUAGGGGGUUAGGGUUUCAACCUAGAGUGUAGGGGGUUAGGGUUUCAACCUAGAGUGUAGGGGGUUAGGGUUUCAACCUAGAGUGUAGGGGGUUAGGAUUCAACCUAGGGUGUAGAGGGGAUUCAACCUAGGGUGUAGGGGGUUAGGGUUUCAACCUAGAGUGUAGGGGGUUAGGGUUUCAACCUAGAGUGUAGGGGGUUAGGAUUCAACCUAGAGUGUAGGGGGUUAGGGUUUCAACCUAGAGUGUAGGGGGUUAGGAUUCAACCUAGGGUGUAGGGGGGAUUCAACCUAGGGUGUAGGGGGUUAGGGUUUCAACCUAGAGUGUAGGGGGUUAGGGUUUCAACCUAGAGUGUAGGGGGUUAGGGUUUCAACCUAGAGUGUAGGGGGUUAGGAUUCAACCUAGGGUGUAGGGGGUUAGGGUUUCAACCUAGAUGUAGGGGGUUAGGGGUUUCAACCUAGAGUGUAGGGGGUUAGGGUUUCAACCUAGAGUGUAGAGGGGAUUCAACCUAGAGUGUAGGGGGUUAGGAUUCAACCUAGAGUGUAGGGGGUUAGGAUUCAACCUAGAGUGUAGGGGGUUAGGAUUCAACCUAGAGUGUAGGGGGUUAGGGUUUCAACCUAGAGUGUAGGGGGUUAGGGUUUCAACCUAGAGUGUAGGGGGUUAGGGUUUCAACCUAGAGUGUAGGGUUCAACCUAGGGUGUAGGGAUUAGGGUUCAACCUAGGGUGUAGGGGUUAGGGUUUCAACCUAGGGUGUAAGGGGUUAGGGUUGGACAUAAGUAAGAGGGUAUGUCCCAAAGUGCACACUAUACCCUAUAUAGUACACUACUUCUGACCAGAGCUCUAUGAACCCUGGUGAAACGUAUCACACUAUAUAGAGAACACGGUGCCCUUUGGGACAAACAGCCAGAGGCAGUUGAACGGGAUAAUAGACAUAAAGCGUCUCCUGGAGAAGCAUGGACUGCCUGAAAACAGAUUUCAGCCCUUACAGGACUCAGCCAUCUAGCUUUAAAAUAUAUACCUUUACAUAUAAAAACACAAGGAGUCCCAAACCACACCCUAACCCCCCUCUCCCCCCACGUAGUGCACUAGCUGGGGAAUAGGGUGCCAUUAGCCAUAGGGCUCUGGUUAAAUGUAGUGCACUAGAAAGGGAAUAGGGUGCCAUUAGGGACUGUACCCCAUCCUGUGCACAUGUUAAAAACUACUAGUACCUGUACAUUACCCACCCAGAAAAAAAUACUCAAUGUCUACAGGUAAAAAGACAACUUUUCCUUUUAUGUCCGUAGGCAUAGCGUUGUAUCAAAAAUAUACAGCUGCAGUAAACCAGUUUUACAGAACAAUGUUUGUUUGAACAGAAUGCUUUGACAUCGCUAGGUGACAUCAGAGGAUGGAGCGUGAAGGUUCUUUAUGAUGUCAUUAUGAUGUCCACGUGUUGAGGAGAUGAAGGCUCCACUCCAUGAUGAAAAUCCUCACCUCAUCGGUUUACGUCCCAAACGGCAGCCUAUUCCCUAUAGUGACCAGGGACCAUAGGGCUUUUAUUUUGGAACAUACAAGCUUGUAAAAACACUGUCUUUCAGCUCCAAAUGAUUUUACAUUUCCGUAUUCUACAAAUAUUCCCAGGCAUAAUAGAGAGAUAUGUGAUUGUACACAAAUGUAAGCAAGGUUUGAAAUGAUUAUGUUUUAGUCAAAUAGUCUAUCUGUUUGGGCUUGUUGUAUUCAAUUUGCAGUCCACAAAUUCUAUGUAAUUAUAUUCAGGCCCCCUGACCAGCCACUCAAGAAAAUAAAAUAAAAAAUUAAAUCAGCCUAUGGCUGAAUCUAGUUGAUGAUCACUGGGGUCUAGGGUGCUAUUUGGGCCGCACCCAUCCCCUCUGCCCCCUCAGUGACUAGUCUAGGGACUGAAGGGAGUGAGAUUCCGGAAUGGAACUCAGCCGUCAUCCUGUUCCGAGCACCAUGACGUCUCCAUAGCAACUUAGCAGCAGCUGGUUCUGGAAGGAGAACAACUCCCCAGAGCAGGAGUGGAAGACUGUUUAGAAAUCAGCUUUUCACCCUGUUCAUCCCCCCAUCCUUCCUUUCCAAACGUGUUCCUCUACGCUUCAACCAGGCAGUGACAUUCUGUGUACCAUUCCAUCCUUCUGUCUCAUCCUUUCCCACCCUCCUUUACAUCCCCCCGCUCCUCCUCUUCCAAAAGCACUCUCUCCAACUCCUCUUCCUCCGUUCCGGUUCAGUCUUUUCUCUGCGUCAUUGUUCCUCCUCCACUUCCUACUGGCUCCAUUUCCUGUUUCCUGGUUCAGUCCACCUUCUCUACCUUACCGAUGAUCUUCUCCUCGUAGAUGGGCAAGACGGUGUCGUCCUCUUUGACUUCCUCAAACACCACGCCACAGUCAAACUCAUCACUCACCUUCUUAAAGUAGAACCUAGAACACACAGUGAAUCAACACACACACACACAGUGAAUCAACACACACACACACAGUGAAUCAACACACACACACACACACACACAGUGAAUCAACACACACACACACACACACACAGUGAAUCAACACACACACACACACACACACACACACACAGUGAAUCAACACACACACACACACAUGAAUCAAACACACACACAGUGAAUCAACACACACACAGUGAAUCAACACACACACACACACACACACACACACACACACACACACACACACACACACACACACACACACACACACACAUCCAGAGCUUAAAUCUCCAUGACGAUGACCUCUCACCUGUAGUAGCCCUUCUUGGUGAGUAGCUCCUUGAACUGUCCCAGGGUCACCACGCGACCUUUGACCGUGGUGCGGUAGGGGAUUGGCUCGCCACAGAAGUAGUACGCCACAGUUACGUUCUCACACUGUGACACCUGCUUCUUACUGCUUAAAGACUUC